UACGGGGGGGGCAAGCGUUGUUCGGAAUUACUGGGCGUAAAGGGCUCGUAGGCGGCUAACUAAGUCAGACGUGAAAUCCCUCGGCUUAACCGGGGAACUGCAUCUGAUACUGGAUGGCUUGAGUUCGGGAGAGGGAUGCGGAAUUCCAGGUGUAGCGGUGAAAUGCGUAGAUAUCUGGAGGAACACCUGUGGUGUAGACGGCUUACUGGACCGCAACUGACGCUGAGACACGAAAGCGUGGGUAGCAAACAGG
rnacentral:rRNA from 1 species